CUCCUCCAGUUCCUAGAAACCAUGGGAAUGAAGCAAACUGGGAAGAAGACGAGCCAGUAUUUUUUUUUUAAUUCCAUUCUUGAUGAAGUUCAAUAUAGUUUCAGAAGUAACAGGUUACUCAGUGCUAGUUAACCCAGAUCUGGUCACUCGUCCGGUCAGCGUUCAACCAAGGCUUCAGGAUAUUGGUGCCCUUUCAGUUACAGGAGAAAAAACAAGUUUCCCGUGGAUUUUGGAGUGAGGACGGGGUUCAGUUCGGCCCCUGCCCCCGCCUGCGGGGCGGCGGCGGCGGGAUGGCUCCGUGCGCUCCCCCCCGGCCGCCGCUGCAGCCGCCUGGAGCUGCCCGCUCCCCCCAGCGGCUCGGGCACACGCAACAGAACUGACUUUUCCUCCCAACACUUUAUAUCGUUAGAACGCAUCAUUGGAACGUGUCGCUGUUUUGUUUACCUCACGCACCACACUUCGUUCACCCGCACCAGGAGAAGCGGCCAUCGAUGGCUUUGCUAGCCUGAGCGCGCCGUGCAGCGUCGGCUGCGCCCUGCAGACACGGCCCGAUGCCCCAGGCAACCCCCGCGCGGGGCUUCGCUCGGGCCGCGCAGGCCGCCGUGCCCCCCAGUACCGGGCCGAGCCCCUGUCCAGGCAGCGGCCAGCGGGGCGCGGCGGCCCGCAGGCACCUGAGCGCGGCGGCUGCGCGGGGGGCGAGCGGGCGGGGCCGGCCCGGCCCGGCCCUCACAUGCGCGGCGCCGCGGGAGCCAUUGGCCGCCGCCGGGCCGCGGGGCCGGCCCUCGCCGGCAGCCGGUGCUGUCCGUGCGCCGAGCCAUGCGGGUGCGCGCCGCAUACGGAGAGCGCGCUGCAGGGCGCUGCUAGGAGCCGAGCCCGCCCGGCCCGGCCCGGCCUCCCCCUCCCCUCCGAGCCCGCCGCCGCCCGCAUGGCAGCGCCGCGGGAGUGACCGCCCCGGAGAAGGUCUGCGUCCCCGCGGCACGGCACGGCCCGGCCCGGCGUGGCGCGGCCGGGCGGCUUUCGGGGUCCCUCAGCCCGCGGGGCCGUCCCUGAGGAAGAGUUCCAGAGAGAAAUAGUUUGUGAACUGUACAUCCACAUGGAAAUAGCAAAAUUGCCUGCUUAGGUCCUUCAAUGAUAUCUUUGUUAAAUCACUUUUUAGAAUAAAGUCACGUGUUAAGGAAUAAUUCCAACACACUGAUAAUACUUGCAAACUUUUUUAGGAUAUUUUUACUUUGUGACUUUUCCUGUGGUCUAAGCGUUGCUAAUGUAGCAGACUAAAGGUGUUUUAUUCCCAUUUCUAGCCCACAGCACGGACUUAAAGGUUCUUCCUUUUAUAACUGGUCAAGCUUGAAACUUUGCCUUCCUCAAACACUCUGUCAUGUUAUACAGCGUGAAGUCCUGUGCAAUUCAUCUGAAUUCUUGGGCUGUAAUCUUUUUGAGGCAGGAUUACACAAUGCAUAAUGCAGUAAGGCUUUGAUAGAGAGUGGGAAAUUGAGCCUUUUAAGCCAUGCAAAUAUCAAGUGCUAGAAGAGUCUAGCUCUUGUUCCAGGAAUCACUUUUUUUUGUUAGCUUGAAUACAAAGGAACUCCAAAAGACCCGGGAGCUGAGCACUGCAGAAGGAGCAUACAGCAUAUGAUGCGAGUAUUGUGAAAGGUAGUGGCAACUGAUGCAUGGCGUGAUGAGGCAGAGAGAGGAUGCCCCUAAUGAGUCAGGAGCAGGACUGCUAUAAUGGUCUGUCUUAUAAAGCAUGUUUUAACCUGGCAGUAGCUUUGCCAGUCGUACAGAGCGAGCAGCACAAGCCAUUAGCCCCAUUUUGGGACAAGGCUGCAACUUUCAAUCAAGCCUAAAGACCACUGUCUGAUUGCCAGCCAGCUGUUGUGCUGGCUGUUCCCUUUCUUGGCUUCAAACCCGAAAUAACAGUCAUCUCAUGCCUGCUUACGUGUGGUGAGCAGCGAUCCAACUUUGAUGUAUCUGC
ensembl:lncRNA